UUUUGAAUUAAAUGAAAUUUUAUGGCCCGGUUUUCGUCUAUGUGUAUUGUUAAGUUUGGUAAUGCCUCGUACUCUGUUCCAGCCUUGGAUACGGGUAAGGGGUGUUACAGAUCAGCCAAGGGGGGUUUUAUAGCUGAAUGUGGCAGCUAAAAUUUGCUAAAAAUAGAAGCCAAAGAGCUACCCAUUUGCCGGUCAUCUAUGUGGCAAAGUUGAU
rnacentral:lncRNA from 1 species